AACCAUAGAAACCUGCGGAGUACCUGCGGAGGGAUCAUUACCGAGUGCGGGUCCGCGUGGCCCAACCUCCCACCCGUGCCUAUUGUACCCUGUUGCUUCGGCGGGCCCGCCAGCCUUCGGGCUGGCCGCCGGGGGGCGUCUCGCCCCCAGGCCCGUGCCCGCCGGAGACCCCAACAUGAACCCUGUUCUGAAAGCUUGGUGUCUGAGUGUGAUUGUUUGCAAUCAGUUAAAACUUUCAAC
rnacentral:misc_RNA from 1 species